AGGGCUCUGGAGAGAGGAGUUCUGUCAACAAGCAAGACGGCUGCUAGAGGAACAAAUGCAGUGGGACAUUAUUUGACAUGGAGGAGAGGACGUCGAAAUCUUGCAGCAACUGGAGAGAGGAGUUCUGUCAACAAGCAAGACGGCCGCCACAGUAACAAGUGCAGUGGGACAUCAUUGGACACUUCUUCUUCGACAUGAUUGAGAGGAGAGGACGUCAAAAUGUAGGGGCAGGAAGUGAUCAUCGACUGCUUCAGUUUGGACUCUUGUUUCCACUACGGAUUAAGAAGUGUUCCUCUCUGGAUUUGCACACCAAGGUGUGUACUCCUGAUCAACUACACAUUUAGCGCACUCAGGUCUGCUUAUGGUCCAAUUUGGAGCAGAUUUCCCAAGGCGGUUGGAUCCCAUGGACACGGCCGAGGAGUGACGACUGAGACAAUUUCAGAGAUGAGGAAUGAGCGCCGCAUCGCUCGCUGCAAGAGAGAGAGAGAGAGAGAGAGAGAGAGAAGGUGGACUAAGG